rnacentral:lncRNA from 1 species
GACUCUUCAAGGUCCGUGAGUGAGGCUUAAGGAUGUAAGCCACAGCUGAUACUAGAUACUCUUCUCAUAACUGGUUUAUUAAAACACACUGAACCAGAAAUAAAUCCCAGAGUGCUUAUCCACUUAUGCUUGCAGCUUUGCAUUUCAAGGGGGAGUGUGCAUGCUCCAUCUUAAACACACAGCCUUGAUUUUGUAGAUAGCCUAACCUCCAGGAGCAUGCAUCAUCACUGCAAUAGCAGGUCACCAGAUUCUUUGCACACCACACUGAACUAGUGUCAGCAUGACUUAGGAUUGCUCUGACAUAAUGGGAUAAGAAUUUAGAUUAAUUCUUAAAAGGCAGUGGUUUGUUUUCUCUUCUAUGAGGGUUCCUCUAUCCUUGGCUUUCUUAUAUGUUC